GAUGGCCCAGGAGUGGGUUGGUGAGUCCAGAGCAAAAAGGAUUGUUAAUUUCACUAAGCGCUGCCAGAUUGCUUCUCAGAGCGGAGGCAUCACUGCUCUCUCCACGUUCACUUCAGCACUUCCUGGAGACUUUUUGCCAUUCUGAUGAUUUUAAAGUGGUACUUCAGCGUUGUGUGAUUUUACUCUGAUCACCGGCUCUAAAAAUGGGCCCAUCAAGAAGCCGGUGGCUGUGGGAAAUGAAGUGGACUUCACAGAAGGAUGGCAUGAGCAGACGGAUUUUCUUCCCUUUCGAUGGAAAGCCUUCAGAGGGCUGUGUCUCUCCCAGCCAGGACAGACACAGCGAUGCAAUCUGUUUCCUGCAGGCCCAAGGGGAAUGCUUCCUCCUUGUGGUUAGUGACUUCAAAAGUUGCCCCAGUUAGAUGAAGUUCAACCGUUUCUCCAGUUUCGACGACUUGGGGGAGCACCCUCUCAUGUCCGCUCCCCCAGCCUCUGAAGCCCUGCCCAGCUCAAGUUCCUGUUUGAAAGGAGCCCUUCCGAUCACCUCCAACAGACAGAAGCUACCCUCCUCUGAACCCCAGCCCGGGGCCCGUUGGGCCUGGCCUGUAUUUCUGCCCUCACUGUACCCAGCAUCAAUUCCCUGCGUGCUGGUUUCGUGCCUCUUGGAGGCAGGCAGCUUACACCAGUGCAGGGGCUGUGCUGGGCUCUGGCACUCCAGCCCCUGUCGCCUUGCCUUACAUAUGAUAGGCACAACAUUCAAUAAAUGUUAUAUUUUUGAAA